rnacentral:rRNA from 1 species
GAUGAACGCUGGCGGCGUGCUUAACACAUGCAAGUCGAACGGUGAAGCAGGAGCUUGCUCUUGUGGAUCAGUGGCGAACGGGUGAGUAACACGUGAGCAACCUGCCCCUGACUCUGGGAUAAGCGCUGGAAACGGCGUCUAAUACUGGAUAUGUGAUGUGACCGCAUGGUCUGCAUCUGGAAAGAAUUUCGGUUGGGGAUGGGCUCGCGGCCUAUCAGCUUGUUGGUGAGGUAAUGGCUCACCAAGGCGUCGACGGGUAGCCGGCCUGAGCGGGUGACCGGACACACUGGGACUGAGACACGGCCCAGACUCCUACGGGAGGGAGCAGUGGGGAAUAUUGCACAAUGGGCGGAAGCCUGAUGCAGCAACGCCGCGUGAGGGAUGACGGCCUUCGGGUUGUAAACCUCUUUUAGCAGGGAAGAAGCGAAAGUGACGGUACCUGCAGAAAAAGCACCGGCUAACUACGUGUCAGCCGCCGCAGUAA